rnacentral:rRNA from 1 species
AGUGAACGCUGGCGGUAGGCCUAACACAUGCAAGUCGAACGGCAGCACAGUAAGAGCUUGCUCUUACGGGUGGCGAGUGGCGGACGGGUGAGGAAUACAUCGGAAUCUACUUUUUCGUGGGGGAUAACGUAGGGAAACUUACGCUAAUACCGCAUACGACCUACGGGUGAAAGCAGGGGAUCUUCGGACCUUGCGCGAUUGAAUGAGCCGAUGUCGGAUUAGCUAGUUGGCGGGGUAAAGGCCCACCAAGGCGGCGAUCCGUAGCUGGUCUGAGAGGAUGAUCCGCCACCCUGGAGCUGAGACACGGUCCAGACUCCUACGGUGGGCAGCAGUGGGGAAUAUUGCACAAUGGGCGCGAGCCUGAUCCAGCCAUACCGCGUGGGUGCAGAAGGACUUCGGGUUGUAAAGCCAUUUUGUUGGGAAAGAAAAACAGCAGGUUAAUACCCCGCUGUUCUGACGGUACCCAAAGAAUAAGCACCGGCUAACUUCGUG